rnacentral:tRNA from 1 species
GGCAAGAUAGCUCAGUUGGUUAGAGCAUCGGAUUCAUAAACCGAAGGUCCUGGGUUCGAAUCCCAGUCUUGCUA